GACGAACCGUGCGAACGUUAUUCGGAAUUACUGGGCGUAAAGCGUGCGCAGGCGGUUUUGUAAGCCAGGUGUGAAAUCCCCGGGCUCAACCUGGGAAUGGCAUUUGGGACUGCAAGGCUGGAGUGCGGCAGAGGAGACUGGAAUUCCUGGUGUAGCAGUGAAAUGCGUAGAUAUCAGGAGGAAUACCGAUGGCGAAGGCAGGUCUCUGGGCUGACACUGACGCUCAUGCACGAAAGCGUGGGGAGCAAACAGG
rnacentral:rRNA from 1 species